GUGCUCACUUCGGCAGCACAUAUACUAAAAUUAGCACAAUACAGAAAAGAUUAGCAUGGCCCCUGCACAAGGAUGACAUGCAAAUUUCUGAAGCGUUUCUUAUUUUU
rnacentral:snRNA from 1 species